CGCGCGCCGGCGGGUGGGGAGCGCGAAGCAGGGCGCCUCCCGCCGCCUGGCUGGGACCACGUGGCCGUCCUCGUCGCACCUUGGGGACACACCCCCUCCGCCUGCCUCCUCUCCGCCGUCCGCCCCCCGGCAGGCGGUCAGCGGCAGCGUCACCUGCUGAAGUUCUGGCGCAAUCCCUGGCCUUGGCGGGGUGGGGGAGAAUGUCUCACGUGGCGACAGUGACUACAGCGUUGAUAAGGGUAAUAAUCACUCCGUCUACAUCCCAGGUGGAGGGGUUUCCACUGUCCCUGAAGCGUUUCCCCACCUCUUCCAGCCAAAUCACACAACUAGAGAGGCUGCUUGGGUCUUCCUCCUGAGUCACUGCUCAGUCUCUUUCCUCCAACAACUCCUCAUCGAGUACAAGGUCCGGGGACGCAGAGGCGAAUGCAAUGGAGGCUGCCCUCAGGGAACUGGAUGGCUGCAGGUCUCGGAAGGCCUCAGUCAAGGCCCCAAUCUUGGGGGCUCACCCCUAACACCCCUCCUUUGCCCUGUCCCAGAGUCUGGAAUGAGGGCUGCAGCUGGAGGUCGAGGCCUAGCCUGGAAUGAGAGGAGCCCGAGGCCUGGAAGGACAAGAAGGUGUGGCAGAAGACUGGCAGAAGAUAUAGCCUCCUUUUGAUUCAUAUUGACAAACUGCUUUUCAGAAAGGAGCCUUGAAACCCAGCUCUGCCACUUUCUUGCUGUGUGACUCUUAGCCUCUCUAUGCCUCAGUUUCUCAUCUGUAAAAUGGCUUCAUAAGAGUGUCCUGAAGGUAAAUAAGUACAUAAUGUAAGGCUCCCAGAGCAGUAGCUGGCAUACAGUGAUGUGCUGUGUAAGAGCUUGCUAUUUCCAGUAUGGCGUUGCAGUGGCCAGGGGACUAUUUCUAAUGACUCUGUUGUCAGGUGGUUCAGUAGCUUGACUUACACUGUCAUGGUGGGACUUCUCUUGGGGCAGGACAAACCCUGCUGCAUGUUUUACCUUCAUCCAGGCUCGGGGGGGAGAAGGCAGGGUGAGUACUGUGACGUCUCACUGUCACCAGAGUGAACUUGAACAACUCCAGAGACUUGUCAUAAGUAGACUUCCAAGGCCUUGCUGCUGCAGACCUUGCUGCUGGCUGGCUGUGAAUGCUCCUUGCUCGGAGAACCUCUGACUACCCGGGAACCCAUCUGCCUACCCUGCCACCUGGGAAAGAGAACAGGUUUUCUCCUGUCUUUUUUUAAGAUUUAUUUAUUUAUUUAAUUCCCCCCACCCCCCACCCCAGUUGUCUGUUCUCUGUGUCUAUUUGCUGCGUCUUGUUUCUUUGUCCGCUUCUGUUGUUGUCAGCGGCACGGGAAGUGUGGGCGGCGCCAUUCCUGGGCAGGCUGCACUUUUCUUUCACGCUGGGCGGCUCUCCUUAAGGGUGCACUCCUUGCGCGUGGGGCUCCCCUACGCGGGGGACACCCCUGUGUGGCGCGGCACUCCUUGCGCGCGUCAGCACUGUGCAUGGGCCAGCUCCACAUGGGUCAAGGAGGCCCGGGGCUUGAACUGCAGGCCUCCCAUGUGGUAGAUGGACGCCCUAACCACUGGGUCAAAGUCCGUUUCCCGGUUUUCUCCUUUCACUUCUCAUUGACACCUGUGGGUUUAUAAUAAUAACAACUAAUACAGUGAGUGCCCACUAUAUGCCAGACGCUAUUCUAAACAUUUUACAAGAGUUCUUUCAUUUCUUUCUCACAACGAUCCUUCCAAAUUGGUAUUUUAAAUGAAGGAAACUGAGUCUGAACACAGGGCCUGAACCCAGCAUCUUUCAUCCUAACUAUGACAUCCUACUAUCUCCUGUUUCAGAACAUGCAACUUCAGGGUGGAAAAUGCCAAAGAAUCCAAGAUUUCUUGGCCUGCUUCAUUCAUCAUCCACCCUUCCCCAGUGACAAGAAAAUUCUGUGUUAGAACCACUAGCAGCAAGCUGGCUGAGAAAUGAGGUGGGAGACAAGAAAUGGAUUACGUAUUUGCCAACUCUCCAAGCCUUUUCAGGUCAAAUUCUUGUACCCUGUUUGGGGUCUGGGUGGGUGGUUAGGGGACUGAGGAAAACGAGGCACUCUUCAGCGCAGGGGAAUGCAAAAGCACCAGGCCUGAUUAAGGAGUGACAGUACAGAAGACAGAUGCAUGGGGGGCAUGCUAUUUAUUGCCUUUCAGUUAAAUAUUGCUUGCUGUUAUUUUUUUUCCCUUGUAAACCUCCCAAAUAAAAUGGUUUGCUUUCUCCAAGUUGGAAAUGUUAACACGUCUUUUCUUUAAAUAUCUGUGCAUGGCUGUUUUUUUCCCUGCCAGUUUGUCACCAUCUGUAACCCUCCCUUUGUGAGAUGAUCUGAUGACAAUUAUCUUGGAGAGUAAAAGUGGCGGUCUUGAAGCAACGUAAAAGUGGAGUGAGAGUGGGCUGUGUGUGUGUGUGCG
rnacentral:lncRNA from 1 species